GCCAGAGGAGCCAAGCGUUAGGCGGAAUCACUGGGCUUAAAGCGUGUGUAGGUGGAUUUGUAAGUCCCUUGUGAAAUCCCAUGGCUCAACCAUGGAACUGCUCGGUAUACUGCGAAUCUUGAGCCACUUAGGGGCUACCGGAACAAAUGGUGGAGCGGUGAAAUGCGUAGAUAUCAUUUGGAACGCCAAUGGUGAAAACAGGUAGCUGGGAGUGUGCUGACACUGAGACACGAAAGCCAGGGGAGCGAACGGG
rnacentral:rRNA from 1 species